rnacentral:rRNA from 1 species
UACGGAGGGUGCGAGCGUUGUCCGGAAUCAUUGGGCGUAAAGGGCGCGUAGGUGGCGGGACAAGCGUGCGGUGAAAGCCUGGGGCUCAACCCCGGGUCGGCCGUGCGAACUGUUUUGCUUGAGCACUGUAGAGGCAGGCGGAAUUCCGGGUGUAGCGGUGGAAUGCGUAGAUAUCUGGAGGAACACCGGUGGCGAAGGCGACAUCCUGGACCGGUAUUGACGCUGAGGCGCGAAAGCCAGGGGAGCAAACGGG